rnacentral:lncRNA from 1 species
UGAGUCCCUUUAGUUCUGCCUGGAUGUACAUAGUAACGUCUGCUGGAGUGUGGGUGGCCUAUCAGGGGCUGCAUCCUUGAAGAACAUUGACUCUACCUCCCCAGCAGCCAUCAACUGCCUGCAGGAGCUCCUCAGCUAAGGGAGCUGCAAGAUGGCUCAGUGAGUCAAAGUGUUUGCUGCUGAGCCCGGUAACUUCUGACCUCUGACACAGCACAGUGGCAUGCAUGCACCCCUACACACAGGUUUGUCCACACCCCAGAGGCUCCACACAGCUGUCUGCAAGGCGGAGAGUGGGGGAAGCCAGUACCUGCUCUGUCUAGGAAGCUGCAGCGGCCAGGAAUGCUGCCCCCUUCAGGCUGAGGGCUGGAAGCUCUCUGGAAAGUCUCCGGUUUGAGCCCAGGCUCAAAGGCUGGAGAAGUUGGACCCUGACGUCCACGAGGUUGCCAGCUUCUUCGUUUUUAUUUUCAUCAUUGUCCCUGACGUGUGUGGUGACGUCAUGCUUAGGUGAGUCAGCUGAGAGAAGUCUGGACCAUUACGUCGUGACCAGGACCCAUCUAGAACACUGGGUAACCAUGGAGCAGCACCUGACACUGAGUGGAAACUUACUCGGGCUCAGCUGAGAGGCACGGAGCUUGCCUAGAGAAGACAUGGGUUUCACCCCCAGUGAUACAAAUAAAGCCACAAAAUACAAAUAAACUUAAGUCAACUGAAAACAGACAAACAAAAAUCAACAAAACCAGAAAAUGUCCAAAAACCUGAACCCGAGUCCCACUGUGCCUCCCAACAGUCUGUUUGCUUUGGGGCUGCAAUGCUGUACUCAGCGCGAGGGAAAUUCGAUAAAAUUUUCACCUUUCUCCCUGACCUUAAUUAGCCCUGCAGAAUAUGAGUGUAAAUAUAAUAAUAAUAGAUGUAUGUAGAAUAUAACGGUAUGUAAAAGUUGGCAUGCUCAUGACAUAUCUUCACAGCACCAGAACACGGACUGAGACAGAGGUAACUCCUGUUAGCUUCUACAUC